rnacentral:rRNA from 1 species
UGGUGGAGCGAUUUGUCUGGUUAAUUCCGAUAACGAACGAGACUCUGACCUACUAAAUAGUUGGCAGUUCAGUGCGACUGCAAAACUUCUUAGAGGGACUAGCGGUGCUAACCGCACGAGAUUGAGCAAUAACA